CCUGUUUCUUUUCCCACAAAAUAGGUGAUUUACCAACUACACCUUUUCUAUUGAUCACGCCUGUAAAGACUUGUAACCAUCCUUCCCUCUGUCCUCAGUUCCCGUUUCUUCACACAGUGUUGUAACGAAAUGUCGCCAUCCUUCCCUCUGUCCUCAGUUCCUGUUUCUUCACACAGUGUUGUAACGAAAUGUCACCAUUCUUCCCUCCGUCCUCAUUUCCUGUUUCUUCACACAGUGUUGUAACGAAAUGUCGCCAUCCUUCCCUCUGUCCUCAGUUCCAGUGCCAGCGUGUGGGUCAGACAGUGUGGAGCCACUAGAGGACGUCUGUGUCCUGACCACACAGAGACAGAGCUUCAUGCUGGAGAGAAAAAAGUCACUGAGGGGACAGAUCACCUGUGGCCAGUACAUGUACUGUCAUUCCAGGACAUCACCUAUCACUUCAGAGUGGCCAAGUCUGUGAGUAUUGAAUCAAUUAUAUUAAAAAAAUAAUAAUUUUUAAAUCAAUAUAAAGUUGCUUCAAUCUAAUCUUGACCUCUGUCCUCUUCUCCUUCUGGCAGAGUGAAGUGAGGUGUGGCGUAGAGGAGGAGAAUGUAUCCACCACCACCACACCACCAUACUCUGACUUCUACUUCCUCAUUCAAAGCAGCUGCGCAUGAGAGGAGAGGGAACUAAGCAUGCAAACUAGUGUGCUUGCUUUGAAUCUAGCCUAUCCCCUGACUGACUCAGGGUUUCUUAAAGGGAUAGUUGGGAGGCCCUUUUAUCUACUUCCCCAGAGUCAGAUGAACUCGUGGAUACCAAUUUUUAUAUCUCUGCGUGCAGUAUGAAGAAAGUUAGAGGUAGUUUUUCAAGCCAAUGCUAACUAGCGUUAGCACUAUGAAUGGAAGUCUACAGGAAAAAUUGCGCUUACGCUAGUUAGCAACUUUCUUCAUACUGCACGCAGAGACAUAAAACUGGUAUCCACGAGUUCAUCUGACUCUGGGGAAGUAGAUAGAAUCUCAACUAUCCCUUUAACUACUACACCUCCUAUCCCACCUCUCUCUCUCUCUCUCUCUCUCUCUCUCUCUCUCUCUCUCUCUCUCUCGCUCUCUCUCUCCUACCCAUCCUGUCCUGUAUAGAAACAUAUCCACCAAACUACAGCUCCUAUGCACUUCAUUAUAUGAAACCUAAGUUUAUCAUAAUGCUAUAGUGUUAUAUUAUAGCUUAUUAAUCAUUUUGUAUUUUUUCCAAUUUAUAAUAUCCGUUUUCCUGAACUUGUUUUGUGUCUACUGUACACUCUAACCAUUCCUUAUGACUGAAAACAAAAACCCUGUUUUGAAUGUAUGGUUUAAUACAUUUGGUUCUAGUGAGAAUAAUUAUAGGAGAGUCAAAUUCACAGUUGACUAACAUUCCGUUCUGGGCUGCUGUAUGUCUUGACUUCCUGUCUGGAUCCUCCCAGAUGGCACCAUAGUCAGUGGAUUUGGAUAUACUACUGUAGAAGUUU
rnacentral:lncRNA from 1 species